rnacentral:rRNA from 1 species
AUGGAGAUCUACUCCAAGGAGGAAGAAUUUUGGCGCCAAUGCGGUUCUAUAAAAUGGGUACUGUUUGGUGAUGCCAAUACAGCUUACUUCCAGGCGAUCGCCAAUGGCCGCAGGAGACGUUGCUCCAUCCCCCUUUUAUGGGAGGGCGGCCGUCUUUGUCAGGAUCCACCAACGAUUCGCGCCUUGGUGGAUGACUUUUAUAAGUCGUUAUUCAUGGGCCGUGCUAGGGGUGGUGUCGCUCUGGCCAACCAUAUUUGG